rnacentral:ribozyme from 1 species
CCUUUUUCUCCUAUCGUUCCAUAUUGUUUAUUCCUUUGUCUUGUCCUUUUCCAACACGAACGAUCCGAUCCGAGAUCCCGCACAGAAAAGAAGAAAAAUGGGAAAAAGUCAACCAAAUUGAUCUUUUGAAAUA